UCUCCGUAGGUGAACCUGCGGAGGGAUCAUUAACACGUAUCCAAACCAAACCAAAACCCAACCUGUGAACUGUAACUGGUAGGAGAGGGGCAAUCUUCUUCUGCCAACACCCACGACUAAAGAUUGAGACUAAACGUCUCAGUCUUUUUUUUAUUUUUUUUACUACUAUUAUAAAUUUCAACCAGAUUGAAAUUACAAAACUAAAAGUCAAACAACUCUUAGCAAUGGAUAUCUUGGUUCUC
rnacentral:misc_RNA from 1 species